CCUACGGGAGGCAGCAGUGAGGAAUAUUGGUCAAUGGACGCAAGUCUGAACCAGCCAUGCCGCGUGCAGGAAGACGGCUCUAUGAGUUGUAAACUGCUUUUGUACGAGGGUAAACGCAGAUACGCGUAUCUGUCUGAAAGUAUCGUACGAAUACGGAUCGGCUAACUCCGUGCCAGCAGCCGCGGUAAUACGGAGGAUUCAAGCGUUAUCCGGAUUUAUUGGGUUUAAAGGGUGCGUAGGCGGUCGGAUAAGUUAGAGGUGAAAUCCCGAGGCUCAACUUCGGAAUUGCCUCUGAUACUGUGCGGCUAGAAAGUAGUUGCGGUAGGCGGAAUGUAUGGUGUAGCGGUGAAAUGCUUAGAGAUCAUACAGAACACCGAUUGCGAAGGCAGCUUACCAAGCUACUUCUGACGUUGAGGCACGAAAGCGUGGGGAGCAAACAGGAUUAGAUACCCCGGUAGUC
rnacentral:rRNA from 1 species